AGUACACUCAGCCCCUAUCGCAGAAAGGCGGAAAAAAGGAGGGGGUCGGGUACUCUCAAAACCCGCCACAGGGAAGAGAACCCAAGCAGUGCUCAAGGACAGCUCAAGCAAGGCGUCAAGGUGGGCAAGCAGGGUUCCGCGGGAGAAUCGGGCCGGACAGGUGUGCAAGAAGUAGGCUUCGGCUAGGACAAACCGGACAAUAGUUGGCAAAAGCGCGUGACAACCUCCGUGGAAGCAUAGAUACAACCUCGCAGGCGUGG
rnacentral:lncRNA from 1 species